rnacentral:rRNA from 1 species
AACGAACGCUGGCGGCAUGCCUAACACAUGCAAGUCGAACGAGACCUUCGGGUCUAGUGGCGCACGGGUGCGUAACGCGUGGGAACCUGCCCUUAGGUUCGGAAUAACUCCCCGAAAGGGGUGCUAAUACCGGAUAAUGUCUUCGGACCAAAGAUUUAUCGCCUUUGGAUGGGCCCGCGUUGGAUUAGCUAGUUGGUAGGGUAAAAGCCUACCAAGGCGACGAUCCAUAGCUGGUCUGAGAGGAUGAUCAGCCACACUGGGACUGCGACACGGCCCAGACUCCUACGGGAGGCAGCAGUGGGGAAUAUUGGACAAUGGGCGAGAGCCUGAUCCAGCAAUGCCGCGUGAGUGAUGAAGGCCUUAGGGUUGUAAAGCUCUUUUACCCGGGAUGAUAAUGACAGUACCGGGAGAAUAAGCUCCGGCUAACUCCGUG